rnacentral:lncRNA from 1 species
ACUCUGGACUGCUGGAAAACCUCCUUCCCUAUCCCGUGAAAUAGUCAUGCAUAUGUUAGAACGUGAAGUGCUUUUAUAUACCUUCCACACGUUGCACCGGCAUUGAGUAACCAUCAGUCUUUGGGGAGCAGUGCCAUCCCCCUGUCUCAGUACCCAAAGAGAUGAUGCUGCCUGUAAGAGAUGAUGCUACAAAGGACACAACCUCAGCCAAUUUAAUCACCAUUGGAAUUGAGUUGUAG